AACUGACCUUCAUAAGAACUCAGAAGACUUAGUAAAUGCUGAAGAAAAACAUGCUGAUACACAUCCAUAGGCCUGAAACACCUUAAAGGCUUCCGUCAUUUUAAACAUGAGAGAAUAAUGAAAACAGCAUGAAAACAUCCUAAAUCCUCAAUUUUCCAGGAAGCUAUAUCCCUCUUUCAACAUACAAUUGGAUCAGGCCUUUUUUAAUGAACUCAAGGAAUUAAGGAGAACCUAAAUUUUGAGCUAAACUCUGGCUAAAUAAAUACACUUAAGUUGCUAUCAGAGUUUUUGAUCAGUGCUUCUGAUGCUAUUUUUCCUUGACAAUUUGGCCUUAUUCAAUCAAGCCAGAGAAAUUUUUAAGACAAAAUUUGGACAGUUUUAAAUUCUCCUCAUUUUUAACCCAGUCAUAGUGACUGUGCAACGUGUGUGCAGAAGAUGAAGCAUUUUAACAUUUACUUUGUUGUGCUGUCUCACACAGAGUACACAUUUUUAAAGGUCUUAAAUCAAAGGAAAGCAAAAACAAAAUUAUGGGAAAAUUUUCUUGCAGUGCUGGGGAACAUGCUGUUUAGAUCGUCCUUAUUUUAAAUGCACAGGAAUAAAAUGAGAGGUGGGGCUGGCCAGAAACUGUAGUCGAAGUUCUAUGGCAACAAUGGCAAACCACAGCCUCAGCUGAAUGAUCUGAUGAGCACCUCAUUGUAGCUCUCAUACUGGGAAAUGGCAGUGAAACCUUUCCUGAACUCAGUGAACCAGCCUGCAUCCUUCUCUGUGGUUUCAAAGCAUCACCUCGACGGGUGUGGUCACAAUGCAAGUCACAUGGUAUCUACAGUCAACAAUAACAUGACCGUCAGACUUCGUGAUUGGUAGAAACGGACAAUAGAAUGGAAAAUAGAAUUUGCCUUCUGGGGUGUUUAUCCCACCAGAAUGUAACAACAAAAUGCAUCACAAGCCAAGAGAUAAGAGACAAGAUGUGUGUAUGUUUGUGUGCGUGCGUGUGUGUGUGUGUAUGUGUGUUCAAAAAUGUUGAUGAAAAUGGAAGCUCACACUUUUCUGUACAGAUAACAUUAUUUGACGUGACUUUUAAAUUUACGCCACAGAAACAAACUGCAGCCCUUGGAGGCCCUACCACCUUGUUAUGUUUUGCCUGAGCAUGUGCAAAGCCUUUCCUUUGCUCCAAACUAAAGAACUACCUUUAUUUGUUGUUAGCGACAAGAAAGGUCAAGUACAAUUAGUUGUUGUAACUUUUCAUUGUACAAACAUUGCAAUGAUCAUGAGCUUCAGUGAAUUUAUCUUUAUGAAAGGUAGAAAUUGGAUGGAAGGAAUUAAGAGAAGCCAUCAAUUAAACGACAUGAAAGAGCGUCCAUCUUCCUAACAAGUUUUCUGUUGCACCUGCUUCUUAAUUGGGAUUCUUGAGGCUAAGCAAUAUUUUAGAAAUUGAUACAAUCAGAAGUUUUUAAGCCUAAGUGGUGAGAUUUCAUAACUCACAACCUAGCUCUCUUUUAAUGUGUAAGCCAUAUUCUAUAUGCAUAUUUAGUAUGCAUCAUUGUAAUUUAAGAUAUAUUUGUGUGUAGACUGUAUAAAAUGCUUUUAAAUGUUCUGUGAAUAAAGUCUUUAGCUUUAGUUUCACCUGAAUCUCAUAUAAAACACAGCUAGAUAAUUAAAUUGUAUCAUAGACAUUACAAUGCAAUUGAUAUUUUAAAUGUAAGUAGUAAAGACUGACCUAUAAUAAUGCACUGGGGGAACAUUUAUAGAUGUGUACAUCAUGGUGACUUUUUGUCCUUUCAUAAUGGACUUUUUAUUUCUAUUUAUAGAGAAACUGUAGCUAUUGCCUUUAGUGUCUUUUUAAAACAAGCGAAUUAUAAGCUAGAAAAUAUUGUGCAUUUAAAAUAGAAUCUGACUAUCUGGGAAGUCUAAUUACUAUUGUUCUUAUUUGAGCCAGUUGUCGUUCAGCAAAGCUAUAGACUCUCUCAAGGGAGAAGUAAACUGAAACACUGCUUCCCCAGUGUCAUGGGAAACAUAUCCACUUUAUUCCUAGUAAUACUUUAAGAUCUGUAGACCUUGUUACUAAAGAAAUAGAGGAAUAUAAAUAAUUCAUCAAUUUCUGUAUAUGGGCUUUAACCUAAUUUUCUGGGUUCUGUGACUUACAAAGCACUGUGACCAAGCUUCCAGAGAAGUAAAGAUGUUUCACUUCUUCA